UGGCACCGUUGGUCUCGCGAAGGCCAGUUGGUCCUCUUUCCUCGGCUCGCCGGCCCCCUCCGCACACAGCAGAGAACCGCGCUCGGGUCAGGGUGGGACAGCCCGGAGGAGGCCGUGAGCCCCACCCGGCCCAGCCCGCAAAAGAGCCUUGCACGGGGGGCCUCCGGGUAGAGGGCACUGAUCAGAGCGCAGAAGCCCGUCGAAGGCGGGUUUGAGGCCGCGUGGGCAUGCGAGUGAGGAAACUGCCAGGACCCCGGUCGAGGACGUGGCCGGAUGGAGAGCGAGUCAGUUUAUCUGGGAAGCUGCCGCGGGCUUGCGGAGUGAGCUUCUGGUGAACGUUUGCACCUCGGAGGACAGAAGAGGUUUGCUCCAGCAGACACUUCACCUCACGGUCUGUGCAUUUCUAAAUUGGUGGCUGCUCAGAGAACCCAAGGUGGAGUCUUGGGGACACUAUGAUAAAGGCUGUUGUGAGGCUGGUCCCUGGCCCCUGCUCUGGAGUCUAGCUUCCUUCUGACACAUAAAGGAUGGAUGCAGCACCUCGGAGACAGGCCAGGACCUGUCUCUGCCCUUAGCCAGAGACCGCCUGGAACAAAGUUGGAUUGACUGAUUUGUUGCGAUGAGGGAGACUGCGUACGUGUCUAGAUGGGGAAGUCCUGGGGCAUCUCAGUCCGGGGCUGUUACAGAGGACUCAUAACAGAACUGUGUUAAAUACUGUGGGGGCAGUUUCAAGGAAGCCGGAUCAAUUCCAUGAUUGGGUAUCUCAAUUUUUAGUUAGCAGCUGAGACGAAGGCAGCGGAGCUAAAACUGUGGUUGGUAAAGAGACAGCCAUCACCUGUGUUAGCCAAGGGUGGGGGACGUUGGGCGGUUUUUGUGGUUGACACGGUGGCCUGGAUUUUGUCUGUCCUCAGACAUGACUGUGGGAUGGUCCCGUUUUGUCACACCUCGCCUGAUGUGAUCUGUGAAAUCGGCUCUGUUAAGCAGCAGAACUUCGCAGUCCAGCGGUGAGCCCCUGGCUGGUUGGAGCUGCUGCCAGGGGCUACUUUUCCCUUUCUCACUGCAAAGGCAAAGCCUUGACCUUCAAGUUGCAGCCUUCUCUAUCCUAGUCUCAUAUCUUCAUGGUGGGAUAAGGAUCAUCCCAUUGGAAGAGGAAGAAAGGAUGGAUAAGAAUAAGGAGGGGGAUUUGUCGGAGGGAAAUAGCAGCUUAGCUUAAAGUAUUCCGCCCUCUGUCACCUGAACAGAUCCAGGGUUCCCUUCCUCUAUCUGGAUAGAAUGGGAUUCCAAAGCCAUGUUGGCAGGGGCAGGAAGCAGGGUGGGGGAAUUAGGAUAUCAUUGCCAUGCAGGUGCCUUCUGAAUUAUUGGAGGAAGUCCCAGUAAAGUGGGGAAGGCAAUAAGGAGUGGCCAUUCUUAGUACAGAUAAUCCUCACUUAGAAAUACAAUCCACUGUCUUAGGAAACCUAGGGGGUGUGAUCAUACCUCCCAGUUUUCUGGUACAUCCAGUCAUACUACCUUUAAGUAUUAUGACUAUUCAAUUACCUGGGAUGUAGUUUUGCUACCGACGAUCUUGUUGUAUACAAUUAAUUGUUUUAGUGAAGGGAAUCCAUUGCUUGUCUGAUCCUCUGAGGAGUAGACAGCAAAGUGGGAUUAGAAGUGCAAGAGGGUUAUUUGGGGAAACACCUGUGAGGGAUCAAGGGUUUGAGGGAGCAGGAGCGGGCAGGGGGAGCCCUCUGCAAUACAGGCCCAGCCCCCCCUGCUUAAGCAGAAAGGGAGAGAAGGACGGAGGAGGAAGGGCCACAGGCCACAGUGCAAUUCUGAGAAAACCUUGGCCAGGCUGCUGGGAACUCCCCAGGCUGAACUUCCCCAUUAGAGGAGUCCCGAAGUCGUCCUGGGUGGGAAGAGUAUGGCACCGGGGCCCCUGCCGUUCUCAGUCAUUGCCCAGAGGCAGCCUGGCCUCCUGUCCCAGGGGGUGGGGGGGCAGCCGAGGCUGUCAGUCCGCAAGCUCUCUUCCAGCCAUUGGCAAGCUCUCUUUGCAGCCAGCGGAGCCGCGGCCCCGGGGGCCCACAUGGGACUUCGGCAGCACCACUGAAUCACUGAACCAAUUUAAAUCCUCCUAGAAGCGGGGGCCACGAUGGGCUUAGACGUGCAAGAGCUUUAUUGAGGGAGAUGGCCCUGAGGAUCAAAGGGGGGAUGAGAGGAGGGGAGGAAAAAAAAAACAAACCCCCACACAAAUGUGAUACAACCUGUGUGCU